GCCGGUGUAGUGCAGUGGUGAGCACGUUUCGUUGUGGUCAAGCCAUCUUCUCCAUCAAAUCUAUGGUUUGGAAAGGACGGCUUCAAGGCAGUAACCGAAGAGACCUCAGUUCGAAUCUGAGCACCGGCA